rnacentral:tRNA from 1 species
GCACCCGUAGCUCAGUUGGAUAGAGCGUUGGCUUGCGGAGCCAAAGGUCGUACGUUCAAAUCGUAUCGGGUGUACCA